ACUCUUCUUCGUUCUCAUCGCCGCAAGCUUACCCCAGCUCUCCUUCUAAACUUGUACUCCUUUUGCUUGGGGAAUUCUCAUCAGUACUACAUAUGUGAAACUCCAUGCUAUUGCUUCUACGUGACGGCGACAAUUUCCGUUGGGGUUUGCUUCUCUAUGAAUUCUUCUGGAGCAAGCCAAGUCUUCUUCACAAUUCAUGGCUACCGAGUACAAGUUGAGACUAUUAACUAGCGUGAGGGAGUCCGAUUAUAUAUGAAUUGCAUUGAAUCAUCGAGGUUUUGGGAACUCUGUUUGCGCGAGCUUGCCAGGCUUUUGCUUCGAUUGGUGCUAGCCUUAGUGAGAAUCUUGACUGGCGAGAAGUGGUGAUUAUCAAAGAUCGUUAAGCCCGUUGAGAGUAAGACCCUCAAAUAAGAGUCUUAAACUCUUAAAUGAAAGACACAAAGACACAUGUAUUUAAGCAAAAGUGUGUGUUCGAAAUCUUAUUUCAUGGAUUUAAGGCAGAGAGAGGGUUAAAUAUUUAAGCUAAAUAAACGAAUAUAUGAAUACACAGCCUGAAAGUUUAGGCAUGAGUGAGAUAUUUUGGAUUUGCGAUUGUAACAUCAAAUAACCGAAUUUGAAGGUGUUAUGACGAA